ensembl:lncRNA
AUGUGUAGUAUCAGUGCUGUAUAUAUGUCAACCCAAGUCUCCCAGUUCAUCCCCGCCCCCCGCCCCCCGCUACUGCCUGUCGAAUGUGUUGACCACGCCCUCCCGGUCAAUGGGGGGUCCUGGAAGCCCCUCGGGCCCCCGGGCCCGGCCAGGCGCUUGCUGGUCUGGUGUUGGCGGUGUUCGGGGGGGCGGGCCGGCGUCAGCAGGCUGGAGUCCGGUCGCGGGUCGUGCGGCUCAAGUACAGCACGCCCGGCGGCGGUGCGACCCGUUGGCCCGACCUGCAGGGCAGGCGAAAGGGAGGCGAAGCGCAAGGCUCUUAGGGCGCCCCGAGCCCACCGCCACCGUCUCAGGCCGUAUCAGCCUGAAGGCGCCCGAUCUCGUCUGAUCUCGGAAGCUAAGCAGGGUCGGGCCUGGUUAGUAUCUUGGAUGGGAGACCACCUGGGAAUCCCGGGCGCUCGAGGCUUUUUGCCUACCAGAAGAGGUCCUUUAGCCCCGCGCGUCCCGAUUCUUGGAUCCCCCCCCCCGCAGCCCCAGCCCCUCCCGGGCCGCGGGGAGCGGCUGGCCGGGGCCCCGACUCCCGCUGCAGACCUGGGUUGCCUCCGCGCGGCCCGCGAGCCCCUCCGCAUUCGCAUUCGGCUUCCAGGACACCCGACGACCGGCAGUCCCGUCUCCAUCUGGGGCUCCUUUGGCUUGCCUCAGGCAAUCCCGGGGCUUGCACCGACUCCAGCCAGAGCCCCGGCCCCCGCCCCACCCCCUGCCUCGCAGGCGAUCGCGCAUGCGCGUGUGCGCGCGCACGCACAGAUAGAUGUGCCCAAACGGGGCAUCUAUCUUGUUCACUUAUACUGUGGGUGGAUCUAUGCCUGGGAGUCGGACUGCUGGACCAUAGGCUACUUCCACUUUUAGUUCCUUCGGGAACCUCCAUAUUCUUUUCCAUACCGGCUCUCCCCACGCCCAUUCCUACUCACCGUGGAGGAGAGUCCCCUUUGCUCCACAUCUUCUCCAGCAUUGGUUAUUGACAGACAUCGCAGUGAGGCCCAAUCGGACUCAUGUGAAGUGGUCCCUCCUUGGAGUUUGGAGUUGAGCCUCUCCAAUCAUUAGUGAUGUGGAGCAAGAUGACCUUUUGGAAAUGCAGAUGCACUGCUGUCACCUCCCUGCUCCAACGGCUCUCGUAUUUUCCCAGCAUAUUGAAGAUACGACCACCUCCCUUCAGGCUUGCUCCUCACGUUCUUCUCUGAUGUCUUUUGCCUGGAAUGCCCUCUGCACUCUUUGGCUUCCAUCCCAUAGGGCAUUUUUCGUUUCUUGAAUGUCCUAAGUUUCCCUGGUCACAUAGCCUUCCAAGAUGCUAUUUUCCCGGCCUGAAAUUCUUCCUGCAUCUCAACCCUGGUUUACCUAGGUUCAACCUAUGGACCUCAACGAAAUGGUUCCUCUGGAGAGCCUUCCCUGACACCCAGGUUUUGUGGUGAGGGAAGAGGCCCCUCUAUAGGUUCUCAAAGGAUCUGCCUGUGAUGUAUCAUUAGAGUCGUCUCAGUGAAAGCAGGAACUCUGUGUCUUCUUCUCUCCGCCUUCUAUUCCCUGAAACGUAUUCCAUGCCUCCUAGCUCAUCGUAGGUGCUCAGUAUUUACUUAGUGUGUGAAAGACAGAAAAGCUCUUGGAAGCCUCAAGGGGUCACUUGGCUCGGCACUUUUGAUCUCUUUGUAUAUUUGGCGAUUCAAUUCUUUCCUUUCCUGGGUUGAUGUGUACACUAUAUUCGAGGCACAAUCUAAGGCAUGAAGACAUAUCCAUACAUAGAGGGUCUUGCUUUCAAGGAACUCGUACAGCAGGUUUCUACAAGUUAGGGCUUUUCAAAUGCUCUAGAAGAAUGUGAACGUUCAGUAUGCUCCAUUUUCAUUUCAAAGAAAGAUCGUUUGACUUCCAUAGCAAAGGUGGAGACCUUCCAACGUUGAGUCCAAUACUUACACCUUGACCAUUUCAGGCAAGUCUUGUGGUUCCUUCUGGAGGUGUGCGGCUCUUGCAGAAAUGUGAAGAUCUUCCGUCGUCCUCAGACUUUGGUGUCAUUUGCAAUCAUCCAGAAAGCUUCCAGGUCUAGGUUCCAGACCACCACCACACACAGUCAGUAGCCAACGGAGUGGAUUCCAGGAAUACGCAUUGUUCACCGGCAUUACCGUUGAUAUUGUUGCUGCACACUCAAUGCAGUGGGCAGGGCCUGGAUUGUCCACUGGGUGUCAUGUGGAAUGGAAAGAAGGGCUCCCACCCCCACACACACACACACCCCACCCCCACUGUUGACAGCCUUGUGACGAGAAACGGUCCCCGAAACAAGAAUCAGACAAACCAGAGAAGCCCAGAUGAUAGUCCUUGAGAUGAAGGAACUAAGCAGCUGGUUGAGAUGGCACCAAGGGGAAAGGUUGCCCUUUUGGUCUGCCCCUCUACUCCUUUCUUCCUGGACGCCUUAGGGUUUUGUCAUGGAGAUUUGAAAGAAAGUGCACAAAAGUCAUAUGUGUUGAAUCAAGAUUUUGCAUUUAACCAUCUCUCAAAAGGAAGAGAGCUUCACCUGCAUGUUUCUUUCAAAACGUCAAUUGCUUUUCAAUUCUGGGGUUUCUCUCUUGCCUUGUUCACUUAGCCUUAACAGUAAAAAUCCACGAAAACUACAUAAAGAUUCAAAGAUGCCAACAAAGGACAGCUUCUGUUUUGAAAUCAUCUUUCCAUUUAGUAGAACACGAGCUCUAUUCUUUGUAUUUUGCCUAGGAAUGAGCAAUGUCCUGGUUCAGAUGGCAAGGCAUCCAGCGCAGGAGACUGGGGUUUGAUCCCUGGGUGGGGAAGAUCCCGCCGGAGAAGGAAAUGGCAACCCACUCCAGUAUCCUCGCCUGGGAAAUGCCACGGACAGAGGAGCCUGAUGGGCCGCAGUCCAUGGGUUGUAUUAAAGUUGGGCUCAACCCAGCAACUACGAACACAAGUAUUUCCAAAGACCACACUCAAGUGUGUGUGUGUGUGUGUGUGUGUGUGUGUGUGUGUGUGUGUGUAUCUCCUCUUGCCGUCUUGGAGUCUGUCUCGGAAUCUUCAUGUAUUUCUGCCUCUGUAUCUCCUGACAGCCAGCCGCCGGCCCGUUCGUCUGGCCCCGGCCUCUCCCAGGCGCUCUGGCUCUGGCUGAGGAGCUUGCGCAGGCCAGCUGUCUCCCUUGGCGUGGGUGCGUGCGAGUGUCUGUGUGUCUGUCUGUGUGCCUGCCUGUGGCUCGUCUGCUCUCUCAGGAAGGUCGAGGGCUUGGCGUGGGGGCAAAGGGGGGGCCUCGGUAGUGCGAAGGGGAGGGGCUGAGGCGCUCCGGUCGACCGCGCCUCCCUGGCUUCUGGUGGGUUUGGGCACGGACAGGUGCCGGGCAAGUUGGGCGCUCAAGUUUCGCUGCGCCUAGGCCCGCAGGAGGUUCAGAGGCCCCUGGGCCGCGGGGGUUGGGAGGCGGCGGGCGCCGAAGACCGACACGUCCGGGGCCGCGCGGGCCUGAGCAGCGAAUGGGAUCGGGGAGGCCCCGCUCAGCGAGAGCGGCCGGGUCUGGAGUGGCCGCGGGUGGGAGGCGCGAGACCUCCGCACCCCUCAGCCCAGCCCCCAGGCCCCGCGCGCAUGCACGCACGCCCUCCCGGUCAAUGGGGGGUCCUGGAAGCCCCUCGGGCCCCCGGGCCCGGCCAGGCGCUUGCUGGUCUGGUGUUGGCGGUGUUCGGGGGGGCGGGCCGGCGUCAGCAGGCUGGAGUCCGGUCGCGGGUCUUGCGGCUCAAGUACAGCACGCCCGGGACGAAAGGUGCGGCCCGUUGGCCCGACCUGCAGGGCAGAGCGAAAGGGAGGCGAAGCGCAAGGCUCUUAGGGCGCCCCGAGCCCACCGCCACCGUCUCAGGCCGUAUCAGCCUGAAGGCGCCCGAUCUCGUCUGAUCUCGGAAGCUAAGCAGGGUCGGGCCUGGUUAGUAUCUUGGAUGGGAGACCACCUGGGAAUCCCGGGUGCUCGAGGCUUUUUGCCUACCAGAAGAGGUCCUUUAGCCCCCGCCACGCGUCCCGAUUCUUGGAUCCCCCCCGCAGCCCCAGCCCCUCCCGG